rnacentral:tRNA from 3 species
GGAUAAGUGGCGGAAUUGGUAAACGCUCCACCCUAGUGCGUGGAAUUGGUUCCGAUCGUGACGGACGUUCGCAAGCGGUCUGCGACAAAUCUCGGUUCAAAUCCGAGCUUAUCCA